CCUACGGGAGGCAGCAGUGAGGAAUAUUGGUCAAUGGCCGGAAGGCUGAACCAGCCAAGCCGCGUGAAGGACGCAGGUGCCAAGCAUUGUAAACUUCUUUUGUCAAGGGACAAAAUCCGGCUCGAGAGCCUGACCGAGUGUACUUGAAGAAAAAGCAUCGGCUAACUCCGUGCCAGCAGCCGCGGUAAUCCGGAGGAUGCGAGCGUUAUCCGGAUUUAUUGGGUUUAAAGGGUGCGUAGGCGGGUGGUUAAGUCAGCGGUAAAAGCCCGGGGCGCAACCCCGGCGAGCCGUUUAAACUGGCUGUAUUGAGAUGUCGAGAGGUAUGCGGAAUGCGCGGUGUAGCGGUGAAAUGCUUAGAUAUCGCGAAGAACUCCGAUUGCGAAGGCAGCAUACCGGCGGCGAUCUGACGCUGAGGCACGAAAGCGUGGGUAUCGAACAGGAUUAGAUACCCUAGUAGUC
rnacentral:rRNA from 1 species